rnacentral:rRNA from 1 species
UCGUCUCAUCCUGGGGCUGGAUGAGGUCCCAAGGGUUGGGCUGUUCGCCCAUUAAAGAGGCACGUGAGCUGGGUUCAGAACGUGAGUCCCAAGGGGGACUGGCGUCCUGCCAGAGUAAUCUGGCAGUGCUCUCCGGCUUAUAUCGGUGAAGCCCUCGGCGAUGCGCCGAACCGUCGCCAGGGUAACACCGAGGGAAGACCGAGGUAACGGGCCGUGAAAGAGACCUUGAUUGGGACGGUGCUCGGUGAUGGUCGCCUGGAGCGCCAUGGCCAGGGGGUUCGCCUCGCUGUCAACCAUGCGGCGGCCCAAAAGGCCUAUAUCCAGUGGAAACAUCAGGAGUUACUUUCCUUAAGACCAUCGCCCUUGCACUUCCAUUCAGGGGGCAGGUAUCCGUUCUGGCGGUUCGUUACCGGUACGCAUCCAUUGCUGGAAGAGCUAUGGCGGCUCUUCUACGUGGAUGGGCGGAAGCGGGUUCCGGAGGAAAUAGACCGACUGCUAACCUCGCCAAAGGCGUUGGCCGUCUGGUUCAUGGACGAUGGGACCUGCGACAAACGGCAAGGGUCCGUGUUGUUCGAGACUCAAGGAUUUCUCCUUGAGGACAUCGAAAGGCUACAACGGUGUCUGGAAAGCAACUUUCAAUUGGACACCGUUGUUCACCGUAGCGGCAGAGGCAGAGGGUUACGCCUCUACCUGCCGGUGCGGGAAGCCCGUAAGAUGGCCCUUCUGAUCCAGCCGUUUGUUCUGCCAGAAAUGCGAUACAAGUUGCCUCGGUCCCUGUAACGACUGAAGGCCUCUGGCCUGAGAUGGUAGUCCUGCCCCUCGGGGCAAAUCUAUGGCUACCAUCAUACGCCGGCUCCUUCCUAUCUCUUUCGGGAAGGAUGGAGAUAUAGUCUGUGCUGCUGGAAACAGCAGGGAAACAUGCGUGAGACAGUUCGGUCUCUAUCCGCUGUGGGCGCAGGAGGUUUGCGGGGAGCUGCCCCCAGUACGAGAGGACCGGGGUGGACGGACCGCUGGUGUGCCAGUUGUACGGCAACGUGCAUCGCUGGGUAGCCAUGUCCGGACGGGAUAACCGCUGAAAGCAUCUAAGCGGGAAGCCCUCCCCAAGAUAAGACCUCCCACCGGGUGAACCGGGUAAGGCCGCAGGUAGACUACCUGCUUGAUAGGGCGGAGGUGUAAGCACGGCAACGUGUUGAGCUGACCGCUACUAAUGGCCGAGGGCUUGACCCU